ACCUUGAUAAUCCUCUGAUGGGAAUACAUGAUACUCCUUGAAACUCUGUACAUCUUUGUGACAACAGAGUACAGAAGAGGUGACACUAUGUGACUUCUGAGGCCAGAUCAUGAAAAUCAGUGCACUUCUGUCUUGUUCUCUUGGAUGCACCUCUUGGAACUUAGCUACCAUGCUUUGAGAAAGCCCAAACUCACCCACAUGGAGAGAUCACAUGGAAAGAUCAUCUUAGGUGUUCUGGCCAACAGCCGAGGUGAGUCCCAAUAUGAACAUGUGAAGAUACUUCUACCAUACCAGCCCCCAGCUGUUGAGUCACCCUCAGCCUUACAUUUAUCCCCAAUCUUCAAAUCUUUCCAGCUGAGGCCUCAGACAUCUUGGAGCAAAGGCAAGCUAACCUCAUUGUGCCUUGUCCUGGUUCCUAAUUGUGAACAUAUAAAAUGGUUGUUUUAUGCCACAUUAUGUUUUAUAAUUUGAAGUUAUGAGCAAUACUAACUGGAACAGUGUAGUAUAAGUUUUCUAUUUCUUGUUAAUCUUUGUAUUGUAAAAAUCUUAUUUUUAAGGUGUAUCUCUUGUAAGCAGUAUGUAGGCUUUUUAAAAAAAUGAAUCUAACAAUCUUUGUCUUUUAA